rnacentral:lncRNA from 10 species
UACACUGCUUUGACAUCAUUUUGGCCUUUUGCGCAGCAUCUUUACUCCAGUUUUUUUCCUCACAGCAACUCCAAAAUGGAAGUACUAUUGUUAUCUCCGUUUACAAAUUAGGAAACUGAGGCACAGAUAUGCUCUUGGGUACUUGUCAGCAGCAGUUGUUCUACAAGUUAAAUAUCUGGAUAUCUUAAAUCUCAGAUGAGCGUCUUAGCCUCUGGAUUACUGCUCAAUGAGGAAAGCUAUGAAAUGCAUGGAUAACUUGCUAAUCAGUAUUUGCCAUAUGUGCUAGCAGCAUCAGCAUCAGUUGGGAGAUUAUGGUGGCCUCCAUGUCAGACCUCCUAAAUCGGAAUAUCAGAGAAGGUGGCCCAGGUAGGUUACCAUGCUUCAUCUGCCAAUGCAUUGAAAACUUGGAAUGUAAAUUAAUUCAACCAUUGUGGAAGAUGGUGUAGUGAUUCCUCAAAGACCUAGAAGCAGAAAUAUCAUUUGAU